ACCGGCAGCUCAAGUGGUAGCCGCGAUUAUUGGGCCUAAAGCGUUCGUAGCCGGAUAAGUAAGUCUUUGGUUAAAUCCUGCAACUCAACUGUGGGAAAUCUAGGGAUACUGCCCGUCUUGGGACCGGGAGAGGUUAGAGGUACUCCUAGGGUAGGAGUGAAAUCCUGUAAUCCUUGGGGGACCACCUGUGGCGAAGGCGUCUCACCAGGACGGCUCUGACAGUGAGGAACGAAAGCUGGGGGAGCAAGCCG
rnacentral:rRNA from 1 species